GGAUUACUGCUGUUUUGCCCCACAUCUUACCCAAGCUGCUCCACCUUCCACUUACUGCGUUUAAUGCACAUGCUCUUGGAGCUGCAGCUGAGGUUGCUGGACCUGGCCUUAACUCUCAUCUUGGUACUGUUAUUUCU